ensembl:lncRNA
UCUAGUUUAUGGGACAGAUAUCUCAUUCAACCUCCACAAACCCUCUGUGAGAUGGGACUGUGAUAAUUCCCAUUUUACCAAUGAGGAAACUGAGGUUGAGAAAGGUUAAAUAAAUUGCCAGAGGUUGCACAGCCAGUAAGUAAUGGAGCUGGAUUACAACCCAAGACAUCCUGACUUCAGAGCCACUGCAAGAUAUUGCCUCUUAAGGGAAGUCCAGGAGAGCAAAGGCUUAUUAGCAGGCUCAGAACUUCAGGAAGAGUUUACUCCCCCGAGCCAGACAUCCCUGUUCCACAGCAUUCUGCUGGUUUUCAACUCCAGAGAGCAGUCGUUUUCUUUAGUUCAUUUACCCUAUGCUCUUGAGUCCUCCUUCCCCAGUCCCCACCCCAUCAAAUUCUGCAAAGGAAGUCAUUUAAUCAGCCUCGAUGAGUAUUGUGCCAGAAUCCUUUGGAAGAUGUGGGAUUCCAGCAAACACAGUUUAAAAUCUCAAAGAUCCAGUCACUUGUGAUAGAACACAAUGGAAGAAAAUAAGAGAAAAAGAAUGUGUGUGUGUGUGUGUGUGUGUGUAUGAUAUAUGACUGGGCCACUUUGCUCUACAGGAGAAAUUGACAGAACAUUGUAAAUCAACUAUAAUUUGGAAAAAAAUUUAAAUCUCAUUGAAAUAAAUGUGGCAGGAGUAGCUGUCCUUUAACGAGAGAGAGAGGAAGCUUUAGACAACUAGAGGACGGUGACAGUAAACAGGAGUCUUCAAAGUCUUCCAAGGGGUGGGUGCAAGGACCUCCAUCCAUUGGCGCCUACUCCUUGUUUUCUGCAUUUGGGAUUUAUGCCGAAUUUUGCUAAUAUUUUCAAGGUAUGUUGUCCUCCUUCCCCUGUUGAUGUUUAAAUCUAACAUGUAAUGCUCCUGUUAGAACCACAGUUGAGAUGAAGUUGCUGGCUUCUUUUUGUCAACAAGACACAUUGGCUGCCUAGUAAUUGCCAGGUGCUGUGCUGAGAACCAGAGAUUCAUUAAUGAAGGCAAGACAGUUCCUGUCCCUGAGCGGAGUGGGGGGCUGGGGAGUGUGGGGUGGGCAGUGGUACUUCCCAUCCAGCCUUCCAGCUAGGGAGGAGGGUGCGGAGCAAGGUGGUACCCUGGGUGCAGUGCACAGGAGCACAGAGGAGGAACCAGCAUCCGCAUCUUGGUUCAGGGCCUUGCUACCACCCUAAGUGUCAGGAGUUCCCUGGUGGCUGAGUAGGUUAAGGAUCUAGUGUUGUUACCACUGUGGCUCGGUUCAAUCUCUAGCCCCAGAGGAUUGACACAUGCCAUUGACAUGGCCAAAACAAAAAACAAAGAACAAACAAACAAAAAAAAACAAGCAUUAGAGUUAGACAUGUCCUUAAUGCCCCUGGGGGCUAAAAGAGAUCAUUUUUGUAGUAACUAUGACCAUGGAGCUCUUUUUACAUAUUUCAAUAAAAGUAGUGCCUGCUUAUAGUGAAAAUAAUAAUAACGUUCAAAAGUUCAGAAGGAUAUCAGAUAAGAUGUAAAAGUUCUCCUCUUAAUUUCCCAGACCUAAUCCUUAUAGGAAACCACUGGUAACAUUUUCUCAUAUAUCUUACCAGAAAUUUCAUAUGCACAGUAUUUAUAUUUUAUAACUACAGCUAUAACUAUAGAUGUAGAUAGCUAUCACAUACACACACAGGGAUGAUGGAUGGAUAGAUAGAUAGAGACAGAUAGAUAAUACAUAUAUAUGUAUUUAUAUCUUUUACACAAAUGGAAUCUAUAUAUCAUGCUGUGAUUUUUUUCUUAAAUAACAAGACUUUGACAUCUUUCCAUACCUCUCUAUACAACUUUAUUUCACUCUGUCUUACUCUUUCAUCUUUUUUUUUUUUCCUUUUUACUGUCACACCUGUGGCAUAUGGAAGUUCCCAGGCUAGGAGUUGAACCAGAGCUGCAGCCGAGGCCAUUACCACCAGCCGCAGCAACACCAGAUCCUAGAUGCAUCUGCAACCUAUGCCGUAGCUUGAGGCAACGCCACAUUCUUAACCCACCGAGCGAGGCCAGGGAUCGAACCUGCAUCCUCAGGGACACUGUGUUUCUUAACCCACUGAGCCACAAGGGGAGCUCCCUCUUUCAUCUUUUAAAUAGCCACAUAUUAGUAGAAUGAUUUAAUGUAUCAAACCUUAUUCACUGAACCUUCUAUUCAUGAACAUUUGUUUCCAGAUUGUUGUCAUGUCACACAAGCCUCAGUGAAUAUGUAUAUUAUAUAUACAUGAAUAUAUGAAUAUAUAUGUGUGUCUGAGAGAUAAAUUCCAAGAGGUGGGAUCAUAGGGUCAGAGGCCAUACACACUUGGAAUUCGGACAGGUGUUUCUAGAAUGCUGGACUAUUUUGCCCUCUUACUGACAGUGUACAGGGAAAUAACCCACAUGUUUGCAAAGGGACUGAUGGAGCUUUGAGAGCAAACUUGCCCUUCAUUUUCAAGAAAGGUCCAAGCAGAGCCCUGUGUCAUUUUGCUAAUAAAAGGAAGUGGCAGAGCCCAGUAUUUAAAACUCUGCGGGGUGGGCAUUUAGUUGAAGCAUUUCCUUAAACUUUCGGUUCAUGUACAGCAUGACUUAUAACCUCUUGUCGUGGGAGGGAAAUAACCUGUUAAGUAAGGUCCCCCGGAGGGAAGCUGAGAGUGGUGACAGGUAGGAAAACCCAGGUGAUGUCUUUUGUUCAAUCAGUCACAAGUGAGCAGGACAGGGGACCCAUCCCCUGAUCUCAUACAGUGUGGAAGGCUAGGCUCAGUUUUGUGACUUCUCUUGUCCCUGAUGCCACUUCCCUACAGUCAGUCAAAAAAAUUUCAAGGGUCACUUUAAGAUCCUUUCUUUCAUGCCUGAGAGCAUAGAAAAAUAUUAGUUUCUAGGGCUAGAUGUCAGAUUUAGGAAUCUCCAAGUCAGUGUUGCAGGGUUGGUCGUGGCCAUUUGAUUGUUCACUGUGACUGGUGUGAACACCCGCCCAGGAUCAACAAUUGCUGGAAAAAAGCAGGCUCCUCUUGUCAGAAAGAACGUUUGUUUCAAUUUCUGAUUAAUGAGGGUAUUUUAACCACUUCAUUGUGCACCAUGUCUCCUAGAGUAGACAUGGAAUUUGGUUGUCAGAAAAAUCACACUUUCAAUGAUGAAAAUGCUCUGAAUACUGGGGAUUCCCAUUGUGGCUCAGCGGUAACAAAACCGACUAGUAUCCAUGCGGACACAGGUUUGAUCUCUGACCUCACUCAGUGGGUUAAGGAUCCAGCCUUGCCACGAGCUGUGGUGUAGGUCACGGACUCAGCUCAGAUCCCACAUUGCUGUAUCUGUGGUGUAGGCGGGCAGCUGCAGCUCCAAUUCGACCCCUGUCCUGGGAACUUCCAUAUGCCACGGGUGCAGCCGUAAAAAGAAAGAAAAUACUUUGAGUACAUCUAAGGAAGAAUUUUGAUCCAUAAUCUUUUUGUUUCCAAUUUUUUUCUAACUAUAGUUUUUGAGGUUUAUGGUAAACAUGCCUAGGGUACGAUGCUGACCUAAAGGUAUAUUUUGUUGACAAGAUGCCUUUCAUGUCAAUUCCAACAGUUCAGGAGGGCCCAAAAGCAGAUAAACAACACUGAAAGCCCCAUGGCCCGUGCGUGCAUUUCACUAAAGUCACUUAGCAAACUUUCUGAAGGAUUUCUUUCCCCUCCUUCCUAUCUAAAAAGAAACAUAACUAAGCACCAAAUAUUUUUCUUUCUGCCAGUGUUUGGGGAUUUUUCUUGGCUCGUUUCUUCUUCAGCUCAGACAUUAUGGAAAACUUUAUUGCCUUGCAGACACGUUUCUGGGCAGCUGAGGAAAGGAAAAGGAAGCACAGCUUGGUUUAUUUUUUUUCUACUAGGAAAUAAUCUCCAGAAGAAUAAAUGCUGUCUGCUACAGUUUAAAAAUCAGGAGAGAGAAGAUAAGCCUUGCCUUAGAAAAUAAGGCAGUUGUUUAUGAAAGAAUUGAAGAUUUUUCUGUGGAUGGGGAAAUCUGUAGGUAAAGUGCCACAAUUUGAGAUUUUUUUCAAUAUGACAGGGAAAAGCCCCAAUCUCCCAAACUCUGAGGUUUUGGUUCUUUAGGUACCACUUAAGGAUAUUGACACUUUGCUUCAUUUCUGAAAGACAAACUGGCAUUUUAAUCCUUAUUGUCAGCCCCCCGAAUAUAACAUAGGUAGGUAGGUAGGUAGGUAGAUAGAUAGAUAGACAGACAGACAGACAGACAGACAGAUGAAUAUACACACACCCUGGCUGUUUUACCUGGAGAAAAAUUGGAAUGCAGUUUCUUUGAAUAUAUAAAAAUGCAAUUUCUGUAGGUGAAAGGACUAAAUUGUGGCAAUGUUUUAUGUUUUAACCUAGUAGAAUAUGCAUCUCAAGCACACUUACACUUUUGUGUGCUUUUAUUGAGCAUUUAGAACUUGGUGCCAGUCGUCAACCACGCAGUUUAUGAAAUAACGUUCUCAAAGUGAAAUCACAUGGCUGGAGAUCUGGUUGGAGCUUUAAAUCCUAUGUGCUUGAUUUCUUUAAAAAUGCCUUAGUCUUCAUGCAGCUAAUAAGCGGCAGUAAUAAACCCUUGUUUGUCCACUUGCCAACCCUCCCAUUUGGCCAGCUAGCCUCUAGCUUGAAACCCCAUCCUGGGCUCGUGUCCAGUUUUCGAGUCUCCCAGUCCCCUCCCUUUUCUUAGCCAGUUCUCUGGACAACAGUCAGAAAUCAGAAGGGCUUUAUUUCCUUCAGCAAGUCACUUUUUUCAGCAUUUCUGGCCUGGCUUUGGUGCAGCGGCUUUCAAAAUGAUGAUCACACUCCACAGUAAGAAGUACGUUUUCCAUAACGACUGAGCCCACAAGCGGUAGGUGUCUGCAGCCUCAAACGAAAGCCUCACAAAACCAUCCUUACUCUUAGUAAAUACAGUGAACUCUGCUGCUUUCCAGUCCACUCGAUUCCAUUUUUUACAAGGGGCUCCUUGCCACCCACUAAAUUGAUUUCACAGCCUGUGGAUGAGUUGGGACCCAUAGUUGGAACAACACUGCUUUAGUGUACUUGCCUCAGCCUGGGAAUUUCAAGUUUGGCAGUCAACCCCAGGCUGGCGUAUAUCAGCAGAAAAAGGCAGGACUAUUCAUUGCUAUGAACACGGUAAAAACAUCCUUCGGCAGCUUUCAGAAGACUUUUAAUAGCAGUGGAAUACACAGGUAUGAAGUCUAUUCAUGGAAGCGUGCCUCAAUCAAACCAUAACAAGGGGUUAAAAAGUACUGCCGCCACGCACUCUCAGAAAGUAGAUGGGAGCCCACAGACUUUGAGCUCUAGAACUUUGCUUCCCGGGACAGCUCUUGGCUGAUAACUCAAGAGGGCCAGCCUGCUUUCCAGGUAGUUAGGAAUGCAGAUAUUCAGAUGCGGGCGGGAGAGGAGAAGACGCAGGAGGCUGAUUUAGGCAGCCUGGCUCUGGCUGCCAGUCAUGCCUCGUUUCCUGUCGGGACCAGGAACUGAGUGUUCUCUGGGCUUCCAGCCACUGGCUGCUUCAUCUCACAACCAGCUUCACCCAGCCUUCCUUUUACUUCCUUGGGCAUCAGCCUGCUCUGCUCACACUUGUUUUCUAGAUUUGGGACAAACUAAAAGAUAUUCUUGAGAUCUGAAGGCAAGUUCUCCUGAUUCUACAAUGUGUCCAUGACCCCACUCCGAAUCCUAGUCUGUACAGUUCUAAGUGUAGAGAAGAUCCAAGACCAGUGCAAUAGUAAAUUCUGUACUGGGAAGUUUUCAUUUAGUGAUAGGAGUCAGUGUUCCUUUUCUCCUCUUGGUCUUUGGCUAUUUAUAUCUCCAUUGGAAGUUCAUGCCAACCCUGGAUGGGAAUUUAUCACAUGACAACAGAAAGUGGACAGGAUCAAAUCAGCCCAGGAGCCUGAAUUUUAAUUAUUUCCUAUGAUGCAACAUCACACUGAACUUCAAAGGGACGUCUGUGGUUGUUCUUUGCACAUUCGUGUUCCCCACACCAUCCCCAAAAAACAUUUGAAGGCCAUCAAGCCAAAAAGAAGGGUUCUUGGGCACUCUAUAGGAUUAUGGGAGAAUGCUGCACGUCUUCUCACUGAAAGUCAGUUUUCUCCAUUUUUGUUUUAGUUUCACAGAUAAUUGCCUUUUCGUCGUAUAUUUGCAUAUGUUAUGUCCACACAAAUUAUAAAACUUUCCCCAAUUUGAAUUUUGAGAACCUAAGGAGAAAUGCUGUGAGGCAAGCAGUGUUGUUUGCAUCGAUCAGAAAAGCUCAUCUUUCAAAAAUAAACAUCUUAUUUAGCAUAUAGUCUUUCCUCAUUCUCCUACCACUUCUUCUU